rnacentral:rRNA from 1 species
AGAGUUUGAUUAUGGCUCAGGAUGAACGCUAGCGGCAGGCUAACACAUGCAAGUCGAGGGGCAGCGCGGUGUAGCAAUACACUGGCGGCGACCGGCGCACGGGUGCGUAACGCGCAUGCAACCUGCCUGUAACAGGGGGAUAACCCGGAGAAAUUUGGACUAAUACCGCAUAUUGCCGCGGGUCAGCAUUGGUUUGCGGCGAAAGGAGCGAUCCGGUUACAGAUGGGCAUGCGUGACAUUAGGUAGUUGGCGGGGCAACGGCCCACCAAGCCGACGAUGUCUAGGGGAACUGAGAGGUUAGUCCCCCACACUGGUACUGAGACACGGACCAGACUCCUACGGGAGGCAGCAGUGAGGAAUAUUGGUCAAUGGACGGAAGUCUGAACCAGCCAUGCCCGCGUGCGGGAGGAAGGCCCUACGGGUUGUAAACCGCUUUUACGGGGGAGCAAUAAGCGCCGUGCGCGGCGCGAUGAGAGUACCCCGGGAAUAAGCAUCGGCUAACUCCGUGCCAGCCGCCGC